rnacentral:rRNA from 1 species
UACGGAGGGUGCAAGCGUUAAUCGGAAUUACUGGGCGUAAAGCGAGCGUAGGCGGCUCAAUAAGUUGGGUGUGAAAAACCGGGGCUCAACCUCGGCUGUGCACUCAAAACUGUUGAGCUAGAGUCUUGUAGAGGGGGGUGGAAUUUCAGGUGUAGCGGUGAAAUGCGUAGAUAUAGGAAGGAACACCAGUGGCGAAGGCGACACUCUGGUCUGACACUGACGCUGAGGUACGAAAGCGUGGGGAGCAAACAGG